GCCUGGGUGGCUCAGUUGGUUGGGCGUCUGACUCUUGGUUUCGGCUCAGGUCAUGAUCUCCCGGUUUGUGAGUUUGAGCCCCACCUUGGGCU
rnacentral:tRNA from 1 species